UACGAAGGGGGCUAGCGUUGCUCGGAAUCACUGGGCGUAAAGCGCACGUAGGCGGAUUGCUAAGUCUGGGGUGAAAUCCUGGAGCUCAACUCCAGAACUGCCUUUGAUACUGGCGAUCUCGAGUCCGGGAGAGGUGAGUGGAACUGCGAGUGUAGAGGUGAAAUUCGUAGAUAUUCGCAGGAACACCAGUGGCGAAGGCGGCUCACUGGCCCGGUACUGACGCUGAGGUGCGAAAGCGUGGGGAGCAAACAGG
rnacentral:rRNA from 1 species